CAACAGGGAUUGCCCUAGUAACGGCGAGUGAAGCGGCAAAAGCUCAAAUUUGAAAUCUGGCCCUAGCGGUCCGAGUUGUAAUUUGCAGAGGAUGCUUUUGGUGCGGUGCCUUCCGAGUUCCCUGGAACGGGACGCCAUAGAGGGUGAGAGCCCCGUACGGUUGGAUACCUAGCCUCUAUAUAGCUCCUUCGACGAGUCGAGUAGUUUGGGAAUGCUGCUCUAAAUGGGAGGUAAAUUUCUUCUAAAGCUAAAUACCGGCCAGAGACCGAUAGCGCACAAGUAGAGUGAUCGAAAGAUGAAAAGCACUUUGAAAAGAGGGUUAAAUAGCACGUGAAAUUGUUGAAAGGGAAGCGUUUGCGACCAGACCUUCUCCAGGGGGAUCAACCGCUGUUCUCAGCGGUGCACUCCCCCUGGUUUAGGCCAGCAUCGGUUCUCUUAGGGGGAUAAAGGCCUGGGGAACGUAGCUCUUUAGGGAGUGUUAUAGCCCCUAGCGUAAUACCCUUCAGGGGACCGAGGACCGCGCUUCGGCAAGGAUGCUGGCGUAAUGGUCGUCAACGACCCGUCUUGAAACACGGACCAAGGAGUCGAACAUUUGUGCGAGUGUUUGGGUGUUAAACCCUCACGCGUAAUGAAAGUGAACGGAGGUGAGAGCCUUAGGGUGCAUCAUCGACCGAUCCUGAUGUCUUCGGAUGGAUUUGAGUAAGAGCAUAACUGUUCGGACCCGAAAGAUGGUGAACUAUGCGUGGAUAGGGUGAAGCCAGAGGAAACUCUGGUGGAGGCUCGCAGCGGUUCUGACGUGCAAAUCGAUCGUCAAAUCUGCGCAUGGGGGCGAAAGACU
rnacentral:rRNA from 1 species